rnacentral:rRNA from 1 species
AAUGUAGGCUGUUAUGUCAGUCAGUGGUGAAAUCCCUCGGCUCAACCGAGGAACUGCCUUUGAUACUGCAUGACUUGAGGACAGGAGAGGAAAGUGGAAUUCCCGGUGUAGCGGUGGAAUGCGUAGAUAUCGGGAGGAACACCAGAGGCGAAGGCGGCUUUCUGGACUGGUCCUGACGCUCAGAUUCGAAAGCUAGGGUAGCAAACA